AUUUGAAUAGUUUAAUAAAAAUAUUGAUUUGUGGAAUCAAAGUUAUAAAUUUUAUUUCAAAUU
rnacentral:tRNA from 1 species